rnacentral:rRNA from 1 species
AGCGAACUCGGGGAACUGAAACAUCUCAGUACCCGAUGGAAGAGAAAGAAAUCUCGAUGCCCUUAGUAGCGGCGAGCGAAACGGGCUCAGCCCAAACCAUACAGAUGUAAGAUUGCAGUCGUUGUCUGUGUGGGGUUGUGGGUUGUUACGGGGAAGUCUGCAUACUUCCCAAAUCUCUCGAAGAAGGAAAUAAAACCUUCUGGAAAGUUGGACCAUAGAGCGUAAAAGUCGCGUAUAUGCAACUCCUUCGAGCAUUGUUAACACACCCGAGUACUCCGGGACACGUGGAACCCUGGAGGAAUCUGCGAGGACCAUCUCGCAAGGCUAAAUACUACCUGCCGACCGAUAGUGAACCAGUACCGUGAGGGAAAGGUGAAAAGUACUCCUAACAGGAGAGUGAAACAGUACCUG